CAUCUUAGUGGCGGACGGGUGAGUAACGCGUGGGGAACCUGCCCUGUACAGGGGGAUAACACUUAGAAAUAGGUGCUAAUACCGCGUAAGCGCACGGGGCUGCAUGGCCCAGUGUGAAAAACUCCGGUGGUAUAAGAUGGACCCGCGUCUGAUUAGCUUGUUGGCGGGGUAACGGCCCACCAAGGCGACGAUCAGUAGCCGGCCUGAGAGGGUGGACGGCCACAUUGGGACUGAGACACGGCCCAAACUCCUACGGAAGGCAGCAG
rnacentral:rRNA from 1 species